rnacentral:rRNA from 1 species
AUGAACGCUGGCGGCGUGCCUAACACAUGCAAGUCGAGCGAUUCUCUUCGGAGAAGAGCGGCGGACGGGUGAGUAACGCGUGGGUAACCUGCCCUGUACACACGGAUAACAUACCGAAAGGUAUGCUAAUACGGGAUAACAUAAGAAAUUCGCAUGUUUUUCUUAUCAAAGCUCCGGCGGUACAGGAUGGGCCCGCGUCUGAUUAGCUAGUUGGUAAGGUAACGGCUUACCAAGGCGACGAUCAGUAGCCGACCUGAGAGGGUGAUCGGCCACAUUGGAACUGAGACACGGUCCAAACUCCUACGGGAGGCAGCAGUGGGGAAUAUUGCACAAUGGGCGAAAGCCUGAUGCAGCAACGCCGCGUGAGCGAUGAAGGCCUUCGGGUCGUAAAGCUCUGUCCUCAAGGAAGAUAAUGACGGUACCUGAGGAGGAAGCCCCGGCUAACUACGUGCCAGCAGCCGCGGUAAUACGUAGGGGGCAAGCGUUAUCCGGAUUUACUGGGCGUAAAGGGUGCGUAGGCGGUCUUUUAAGUCAGGAGUGAAAGGCUACGGCUCAACCCCGGUAGUAAGCUCUUGAAACUGGAGGACUUGAGUGCAGGAGAGGAGAGUGGAAUUCCUAGUGUAGCGGUGAAAUGCGUAGAUAUUAGGAGGAACACCAGUGGCGAAGGCGGCUCUCUGGACUGUAACUGACGCUGAGGCACGAAAGCGUGGGGAGCAAACAGGAUUAGAUACCCUGGUAGUCCACGCCGUAAACGAUGAGUACUAGCUGUCGGAGGUUACCCCCUUCGGUGGCGCAGCUAACGCAUUAAGUACUCCGCCUGGGGAGUACGCUCGCAAGAAUGAAACUCAAAGGAAUUGACGGGGACCCGCACAAGUAGCGGAGCAUGUGGUUUAAUUCGAAGCAACGCGAAGAACCU